AGUGAGCGCUGGCGGUAGGCCUAACACAUGCAAGUCGAACGGCAGCACAGUAAGAGCUUGCUCUUACGGGUGGCGAGUGGCGGACGGGUGAGGAAUACAUCGGAAUCUACUUUUUCGUGGGGGAUAACGUAGGGAAACUUACGCUAAUACCGCAUACGACCUACGGGUGAAAGCAGGGGAUCUUCGGACCUUUCGCGAUUGAAUGAGCCGAUGUCGGAUUAGCUAGUUGGCGGGGUAAAGGCCCACCAAGGCGACGAUCCGUAGCUGAUCUGAGAGGAUGAUCAGCCACACUGGAACUGAGACACGGUCCAGACUCCUACGGGAGGCAGCAGUGGGGAAUAUUGGACAAUGGGCGCAAGCCUGAUCCAGCCAUACCGCGUGGGUGAAGAAGGCCUUCGGGUUGUAAAGCCCUUUUGUUGGGAAAGAAAAGCAGCAGGUUAAUACCCCGCUGUUCUGACGGUACCCAAAGAAUAAGCACCGGCUAACUUCGUG
rnacentral:rRNA from 1 species